AACGCACCUUGCGCUCCUGGGCUAUUCCUAGGAGCAUGCCUGUUUGAGUGUCGUGAAAUCAUCAACCCCAGUUGGAUUUGAAAUUUGACUGGUGGCUUGGACUUGGGGGUUUGCUGGCUUCGUCAAGAGGUGGGCUCCCCUUAAAUGCAUUAGCGGGAACGUCUUGCGGACCGUCACUUGGUGUGAUAACUAUCUACGCCUCAUGACCGAUGCUCUUGUUCUGCUUCUAACCGUCCAUUGACUUGGACAGCUCUUUUGACAAUUUGACCUCAAAUCAGGUAGGACUACCCGCUGAACUUAA
rnacentral:rRNA from 1 species